CCUACGGGAGGCUGCAGUGAGGAAUAUUGGUCAAUGGCCGGAAGGCUGAACCAGCCAAGUCGCGUGAGGGAAUAAGGCCCUAUGGGUCGUAAACCUCUUUUGUCAGGGAGCAAAGGCGUCCACGUGUGGACGAGAGGAGAGUACCUGAAGAAAAAGCAUCGGCUAACUCCGUGCCAGCAGCCGCGGUAAUACGGAGGAUGCGAGCGUUAUCCGGAUUUAUUGGGUUUAAAGGGUGCGUAGGCGGAGUGUCAAGUCAGCGGUAAAAUUUCGGGGCUCAACCCCGUCGUGCCGUUGAAACUGACGCCCUUGAGUGAGUGAGAAGUAAGCGGAAUGCGUGGUGUAGCGGUGAAAUGCAUAGAUAUCACGCAGAACACCGAUUGCGAAGGCAGCUUACCAAACUAUAUCUGACGUUGAGGCACGAAAGCGUGGGUAGCAAACAGGAUUAGAUACCCGAGUAGUC
rnacentral:rRNA from 1 species